AUUGAACGCUGGCGGCAUGCUUUACACAUGCAAGUCGAACGGCAGCACGGACUUCGGUCUGGUGGCGAGUGGCGAACGGGUGAGUAAUACAUCGGAACGUACCCAGUAAUGGGGGAUAACUAGUCGAAAGAUUAGCUAAUACCGCAUACGCCCUACGGGGGAAAGAGGGGGAUCGCAAGACCUCUUGUUAUUGGAGCGGCCGAUGGCUGAUUAGCUAGUUGGUGGGGUAAAGGCCUACCAAGGCGACGAUCAGUAGCGGGUCUUAGAGGACGAUCCGCUACACUGGAACUGAGAAACGGUACAGACUCCUGCGGGAGGCAGCAGUGGGGAAUCUUGGACAAUGGGCGAAAGCCUGAUCCAGCAAUGCCGCGUGCGUGAAGAAGGCCUUCGGGUUGUAAAGCGCUUUUGUCUGGGAGCAAAUCCUUGUGGCUAAUACCCACCGGGGAUGAGAGUACCAGAAGAAUAAGGACCGGCUAACUACGUGCCGGCCGCCGCCGUAA
rnacentral:rRNA from 1 species